CAUGCAAGUCGAACGAAGUAGCAAUACUUAGUGGCAGACGGGUGAGUAACAUGUAGGUAUCUGCCCUUUGGCCUGGAAUAACACGAGGAAACUUGUGCUAAUACCGGGUAAGUCUUUACGGAGAAAGCUUUAUGCACCAUUGGAUGAGCCUGCACUUGAUUAGUUUGUUGGUGGGGUAAUGGCCUACCAAGACUGUGAUCAAUAGCUGAUUUGAGAGGAUGAUCAGCCACAUUGGGACUGAGACACGGCCCAAACUCCUACGGGAGGCAGCAGUGGGGAAUCUUGCACAAUGGAGGAAACUCUGAUGCAGCGAUGCCGCGUGAGUGAAGAAGGCCUUUGGGUUGUAAAGCUCUUUCGUCGGGGAAGAAAAUGACUGUACCCGAAUAAGAAGGUCCGGCUAACUUCGUGCCAGCAGCCGCGGUAAUACGAAGGGACCUAGCGUAGUUCGGAAUUACUGGGCUUAAAGAGUUCGUAGGUGGUUGAAAAAGUUGGUGGUGAAAUCCCAGAGCUUAACUCUGGAACUGCCAUCAAAACUUUUCAGCUAGAGUAUGAUAGAGGAAAGCAGAAUUUCUAGUGUAGAGGUGAAAUUCGUAGAUAUUAGAAAGAAUACCAAUUGCGAAGGCAGCUUUCUGGAUCAUUACUGACACUGAGGAACGAAAGCAUGGGUAGCGAAGAGGAUUAGAUACCCUCGUAGUCCAUGCCGUAAACGAUGUGUGUUAGACGUUGGAAAUUUAUUUUCAGUGUCGCAGCGAAAGCGAUAAACACACCGCCUGGGGAGUACGACCGCAAGGUUAAAACUCAAAUGAAUUGACGGGGACCCGCACAAGUAGUGGAGCAUGUGGUUUAAUUCGAAGAUACGCGCAGAACCUUACCAACACUUGACAUGUUCGUCGCGACUUUAAGAGAUUAAAGUUUUCGGUUCGGCCGGACGAAACACAGGUGCUGCAUGGCUGUCGUCAGCUCGUGUCGUGAGAUGUUGGGUUAAGUCCCGCAACGAGCGCAACCCUCACUUUUAGUUGCC
rnacentral:rRNA from 1 species